AACGAACGCUGGCGGCAGGCUUAACACAUGCAAGUCGAACGGUGAAAGCGGAGCUUGCUCCGCUGGAUCAGUGGCGAACGGGUGAGUAACACGUGGGCAACCUGCCCUUCACUUCGGGAUAACUCCGGGAAACCGGGGCUAAUACCGGAUAUGACCUCUGCGGGCAUCCGCGGAGGUGGAAAGUUUUUCGGUGAAGGAUGGGCCCGCGGCCUAUCAGCUUGUUGGUGAGGUAGUGGCUCACCAAGGCGACGACGGGUAGCCGGCCUGAGAGGGCAACCGGCCACACGGGGACUGGGACACGGCCCAGACUCCUACGGGAGGCAGCAGUGGGGAAUAUUGCGCAAUGGGCGAAAGCCUGACGCAGCAACGCCGCGUGCGGGAUGACGGCCUUCGGGUUGUAAACCGCUUUCAGCAGGGAAGAAGCCGCAAGGUGACGGUACCUGCAGAAAAAGCACCGGCUAACUACGUGCCAGCCGCCGCCGUAA
rnacentral:rRNA from 1 species